CCUACGGGAGGCAGCAGUGAGGAAUAUUGGUCAAUGGACGAGAGUCUGAACCAGCCAAGUAGCGUGAAGGAUGACUGCCCUAUGGGUUGUAAACUUCUUUUAUAUGGGAAUAAAACGUUCCACGUGUUCCUUUUUGUAUGUACCUUAUGAAUAAGGAUCGUCUAACUCCGUGCCAGCAGCCGCGGUAAUACGGAGGAUCCGAGCGUUAUCCGGAUUUAUUGGGUUUAAAGGGAGCGUAGGUGGGUUGUUAAGUCAGUUGUGAAAGUUUGCGGCUCAACCGUAAAAUUGCAGUUGAUACUGGCAGUCUUGAGUACAGUAGAGGUGGGCGGAAUUCGUGGUGUAGCGGUGAAAUGCUUAGAUAUCACGAAGAACUCCGAUUGCGAAGGCAGCUCACUAAACUGUAACUGACAUUGAGGCUCGAAAGUGUGGGUAUCAAACAGGAUUAGAUACCCGAGUAGUC
rnacentral:rRNA from 1 species